rnacentral:rRNA from 1 species
GACGAACGCUGGCGGCGUGCUUAACACAUGCAAGUCGAACGGAAAGGCCCUGCUUUUGUGGGGUGCUCGAGUGGCGAACGGGUGAGUAACACGUGAGUAACCUGCCCUUGACUUUGGGAUAACUUCAGGAAACUGGGGCUAAUACCGGAUAGGAGCUCCUGCUGCAUGGUGGGGGUUGGAAAGUUUCGGCGGUUGGGGAUGGACUCGCGGCUUAUCAGCUUGUUGGUGGGGUAGUGGCUUACCAAGGCUUUGACGGGUAGCCGGCCUGAGAGGGUGACCGGGCACAUUGGGACUGAGAGACGGCCCAGACUCCAACGGGAGGCAGCAGUGGGGAAUAUUGCACAAUGGGCGGAAGCCUGAUGCAGCAACGCCGCGUGCGGGAUGACGGCCUUCGGGUUGUAAACCGCUUUCGCCUGUGACGAAGCGUGAGUGACGGUAAUGGGUAAAGAAGCACCGGCUAACUACGUG